GACGAACGCUGGCGGCGUGCUUAACACAUGCAAGUCGAACGGAAAGGCUCCAGCUUGCUGGAGUACUCGAGUGGCGAACGGGUGAGUAACACGUGGGUAAUCUGCCCUGCACUCUGGGAUAAGCCUGGGAAACUGGGUCUAAUACUGGAUAUGACCUUUCUCCUUAUGGGGUUUGGUGGAAAGUUUUUCGGUGUAGGAUGAGCCCGCGGCCUAUCAGCUUGUUGGUGGGGUGAUGGCCUACCAAGGCGACGACGGGUAGCCGGCCUGAGAGGGUGAUCGGCCACAUUGGGACUGAGAUACGGCCCAGACUCCUACGGGAGGCAGCAGUGGGGAAUAUUGCACAAUGGGCGGAAGCCUGAUGCAGCGACGCCGCGUGAGGGAUGACUGCCUUCGGGUUGUAAACCUCUUUCAGCAGGGACGAAGCGUAAGUGACGGUACCUGCAGAAGAAGCACCGGCUAACUAUGUG
rnacentral:rRNA from 1 species